rnacentral:sRNA from 1 species
CACGCUCCAUGCCUUUGAAUGAUCAUCCAGUGAUCAUUCAUGACUGUUGGCCUGGAAAUGGAGCUGAGAAUUAACUAGUAACGGCUGGAUAGGAUCCAAAGAAGAGGUCAUUUACCAGCUGGAGCCAAGGACUGAUGUGGAGCAUGUGAAGUCGUUGCCUUGCAUGAACUAGGAACUGGUUAGAAGGGCGGACUCUCACGUUGUCCCAUCUUUGGUCGACUGAACCAGAUUCUACAUCUUAAGGCCGCUCCAAGGUGCUUCUAUGCAAAUUAAAGUAUGCGAUCUCACCUCUGUUUUGUGCAGAAGGGCAG